AUUGAACGCUGGCGGCAGGCUUAACACAUGCAAGUCGAGCGAGUGGCGGACGGGUGAGUAAUGUCUGGGAAACUGCCUGAUGGAGGGGGAUAACUACUGGAAACGGUAGCUAAUACCGCAUACCAUCAGAUGUGCCCAGAUGGGAUUAGCUAGUAAGUGGGGUAAUGGCUCACCUAGGCGACGAUCCCUAACUGGUCUGAGAGGAUAACCAGCCAUGCUGGAACUGUGAAAUGGGCCAGAUUCCUACGGGAGGCAGCAGUGGGGAAUAUUGCACAAGGAGGGAGAGCUUGAUGAAGGCAUUCCGCGUGUAUGAAGAAGGCCUUCGGGUUGUAAAGCACUUUCAGCGAGGAGGCGUUACUCGCAGAAGAAGCACCGGCUAACUCCGUGCCAGCCGCCGCGGUAAUAC
rnacentral:rRNA from 1 species